rnacentral:rRNA from 1 species
UACGGAGGGCGCAAGCGUUGUUCGGAAUCACUGGGCGUAAAGCGCGUGUAGGCGGCUUGGUAAGUCGGGUGUGAAAGCCCGGGGCCUAACCCCGGAACUGCACUCGAAACUGCCUCGCUCGAGUCCCGGAGAGGAUGGUGGAAGUCCCGGUGUAGUGGUGAAAUACGUAGAUAUCGGGAGGAACACCAGCGGCGAAGGCGGCCAUCUGGCCGGUGACUGACGCUGAGACGCGAAAGCGUGGGGAGCAAACAGG